rnacentral:tRNA from 1 species
UCCCUGGUGGCUCAGAUGGUAAAGAAUCUGCCUGCAGUGCAGGAGACUCAGGUUCAAUCCCUGGAUUGGGAA